CAGAGACUUCCUGGCUGGCCUGGGAUUAGAGCUCUAACUUUGGCCUGGGUGGCCUGGCAUCUUGUAGAGUUGUAUAUUGGGGAUGGAUCUGCCCCUGGCCAGAGGAGAAUAUGCCAAGGAAUCCUCAGAAUCCUGCCUGUCUCUUGCCUAUGAAAGGGCCCAUGUCUGUAUUGAUAGCUAGGAGAUAAGAAGUUGGAGGUCUUCAAAUCUGCAUUUAAACAG
rnacentral:lncRNA from 1 species